rnacentral:rRNA from 1 species
GACGAACGCUGGCGGCGUGCUUAACACAUGCAAGUCGAACGAGUGGCGAACGGGUGAGUAAUACGUGGGAACCUGCCCUCCUUUUUGGGAUAAUCCUUGGAACCGGGGUCUAAUACCGCUUAUAUUCGAUUGACCCCAUAGGGGAUUAGCUAGUAGGUGGGUUAAAGGCUCACUUAGCCGACGAUCCCUAGCGGGUCUGAGAGGGUGAUCAGCCACACUGGGACUGAGACACGGCCCAGACUCCUACGGGAGGCAGCAGUGGGGAAUAUUGGACAAGGGGCGCAAGCCUGAUGCAGCCAUGCCGCGUGUAUGAAGAAGGCCUUAGGGUUGUAAAGUACUUUCAGCGGGGAGGCGUUACCCACAGAAGAAGCACCGGCUAACUCCGUGCCAGCAGCCGCGGUAAUAG